rnacentral:lncRNA from 1 species
AAUCUACUGUUGAAGGGUUCUCUGCAGUUUGGAGUUAUGCUGCUAUGCUAAUGCUGCCGUGGAUGUUCUCCUUCGUGUCUUCUGAUGAACCCAGGUAUAGCUUGCUACUGGAGGGAUGCUACUAGGAGUGGAAUUGCUGGCCACAGAUUGUGCAUGGUACCUUUUGUAGGUACCGCUAAAGGAUUUCCCCAGGCCUUCCUAUUUUCACUCCCACAGGAGUGUGUGGAAGUCACGUUUGCUGCCCAUCUUUGCCAACACAUGGCUUUUGGUCUUUGCUUUUGAUCUUACUUUGCUGGCAUAUGGUUGUCUCCUCUGGGUUUACCUUGAUCCAGGUGCUCCCCUCAUCCAUUGCACCCUUGCUUUUGCCAGUGGUCAGCGCUCAGUCCCCAUCUCACUGACCAACCUAUAGCCAGUGGCAGAUUUGCACACCCACCUGCCUCAGCGUAGCUCCUAGGGCCCCCUCUCCUGGCCUUCCUUCUCCAUACUGGCUGCUCCUUCUCAGCCACCCCACUUCUCCAUGGUUGUUCUUUUCUGACCUCUGACUGUUAGGUGACCCUCAGGGCUCAGGACCUGAUCUCCCUUCUCUCUAACUCAUCCCUCCAGCGAUCACAAACAGCACCACGGCUUCUCGUACCAUCCCUAUACUGGGAUCACCCCAUUUAUAUAAUUGCAAACUUGACACGUCCCCUCAGAUGUUUAGUAGAUAUCUCAAAUUUGGCAGAACAACUUCUCUUUCUCCAAAACUGCUCUCUGUCUCAGUUGAUGGCAACUUUUCCAGAAAAGUCAUCCUGAGCUUCCCUUUUGUUCAUACCUCGCAGCCAAUCUCAGGAGCCUAAUUGCUCUUGUACUCCAAUGCGUCCAAAUAUGGCUGCAUCCCACUCCUGCCUUCCAUGCCAGAGCCGCCAGCAAUUUUCACCUGGAUUUUUGGAAUAACUUGCUGUCCAGUCUUCCUGCUUCUUGUCAUGAAUUUCAGCCCAGAAGCCAGGUGGUGCUUUUCGUGUUAAGGCCAUCUUCUUCCCCUGCUCACUCUACUCCAGCGGCUCCACAUUUCAGAGGAGGAACUAAGGUUUGCAAUGGCCACCAGGCCUCGUGCAGCCGCCUCCUGUAUUUAUCUCCUGCUUCUCCUUGGCUUCUUCACACCACACCCUCAGGCCUUCUCCUGUUCCAGGACCAAGCCAGGCAUGUCCCUGCCUUAGGGCCUUCAAGGUGGUUCUUCUCUUGCCUGCCUGGACACUCUUCCCCCAGGUCUUCUCAUAGCUAAAUCCCUUUCCCCCAAAGCCUCGCUCAACGGCCUUGAGGAUUUCUGCUUAGUAUCUGUGAUCUUGAAAACUGGCUUGUGGUCUACAUGAGGCUCCAGUGUUUUUCUUUCCUUCACUUUCAAAGUCUGACAGGGGCCAUUUUCCUCAUGUUUUUUGAGGAUGUGCAUUUAUUUCUGACCUGCCAUUGAAGAUGUGUCCUGACUCUGUUGGCGGGUUCUCCUGGUGGGUUCUCCAUCUUGGUGGGGCUUGGGUUCAUCUCUCCCAUGCGCUGGGAGGCCUCAGAUGCUGAAGUUCGAGAUCACUUGGCCGUGGUGCAUUUCUUUGGGGAGAAAGCCAGCUUCCACAUCCUCCCCGAGUUCCCUUCUUUUUUUGGCCUGUGACUAUUCUUUUCUUUUUUUUUAAAUACCUUUAUUUUAUUUUUAUGUGGUGUUGGGGAUCAAACUCAGUGCUUCAUGCAUGCUAGGCAAGCUCUCUGCCACUGAGCCACAAUUCCAGCCCCUGCGACUAUUCUUAACCCUUCUGUCAGCUCAUUUGCUGCUGUGAAGGAUUAGAAACUUUUCAUCCAGCAUUUUUAAUGUUUUCAGCAGGAAGCAGAUCAGAGUGUCCAGUUUGUUCUGUUGUCAGAAACAGGAGUCCGUUGACUGUGUGCUGGAGGAAGGAAGUGUGUGACUGGAGAGGUGGACAGGUCCAGGACGACUCAGCCCCAAUCCCAGCUCUGCCUUCACCAACUGUGGUCUUAGGAAAGUCCCUGUCCCCUCUGGGCUUCAGCUGCCUACUUGGUAAAAUGAGGGCUGGGGGGUAGGGUGGCCUCAACGAGGCUGUGAUUCCUGGCUGUGGGUUUUCUGUGUCUCUGUCUUGAGGGAGUUUAUGCAUGUGUGAGGAAAAACUCUCAGUUCAGGUGGCCUUUCGGGUAUUCUCAGUGACCUGCCAGGCCCUGCGUCUGGUUCAGAAGAGAUGGCAGCUGGGCACCAUGGCACACACCUGAAAUCCCAGUGACUCAGAAGCUGAAGCAGGAGGAUCACAAGUCCAAGGCCAGCCUCAGCAACUUAUCAAAGCCCUGUCU